AGUGAACGCUGGCGGUAGGCCUAACACAUGCAAGUCGAACGGCAGCACAGUAAGAGCUUGCUCUUACGGGUGGCGAGUGGCGGACGGGUGAGGAAUACAUCGGAAUCUACUUUUUCGUGGGGGAUAACGUAGGGAAACUUACGCUAAUACCGUAUACGACCUACGGGUGAAAGCAGGGGAUCUUCGGACCUUGCGCGAUUGAAUGAGCCGAUGUCGGAUUAGCUAGUUGGCGGGGUAAAGGCCCACCAAGGCGACGAUCCGCAGCUGGUCUGAGAGGAUGAUCAGCCACACUGGAACUGAGACACGGUCCAGACUCCUACGGGAGGCAGCAGUGGGGAAUAUUGGACAAUGGGCGCAAGCCUGAUCCAGCCAUACUGCGUGGGUGAAGAAGGCCUUCGGGUUGUAAAGCCCUUUUGUUGGGAAAGAAAAGCAGCAGGUUAAUACCCCGCUGUUCUGACGGUACCCAAAGAAUAAGCACCGGCUAACUUCGUG
rnacentral:rRNA from 1 species